rnacentral:rRNA from 1 species
UACGUAGGUGGCAAGCGUUGUCCGGAUUUACUGGGCGUAAAGAGCGCGCAGGCGGUCGUUCAAGUCGCGUGUGAAAGCCCCCGGCUCAACUGGGGAGGGUCACGCGAUACUGAUCGACUCGAAGGCAGGAGAGGGAAGUGGAAUUCCCGGUGUAGUGGUGAAAUGCGUAGAUAUCGGGAGGAACACCAGUGGCGAAGGCGACUACCUGGCCUGUUCUUGACGCUGAGGCGCGAAAGCUAGGGGAGCAAACGGGG